CGAACGGGUGAUAAGCGUAGGUAACCUGCCUCAUAGCGGGGGAUAACUAUUGGAAACGAUAGCAAAAAAGAGAAGAGUAAUUAACACAUGUUAGUUAUUUAACACGAGAAAUUGCUUCACUGUGAGAUGGACCUGCGUUGUAUUAGCUAGUUGGUGAGGUAAAGGCUCACCAAGGCUACCAUACAUAGCCGACCUGAGAGGGUGAUCGGCCACACUGGGACUGAGACACGGCCCAAACUCCUACGGGAGGCAGCAGUAGGGAAUCUUCGGCAAUGGACGGAAGUCUGACCGAGCAACCCCGCGUGAGUGAAGAAGGUUUUCGGAUCAAAAAGCUCUGUUGUUAAAGAAGAACGUUGGUAGGAGUG
rnacentral:rRNA from 1 species